GACGAACGCUGGCGGCGUGCUUAACACAUGCAAGUCGAACGGUAAGGCCCUUCGGGGUACACGAGUGGCGAACGGGUGAGUAACACGUGGGUGAUCUGCCCUGCACUUCGGGAUAAGCCUGGGAAACUGGGUCUAAUACCGGAUAGGACCACUGCCUGCAUGGGUGGUGGUGGAAAGCUUUUGCGGUGUGGGAUGGGCCCGCGGCCUAUCAGCUUGUUGGGGGGGUGAUGGCCUACCAAGGCGACGACGGGUAGCCGGCCUGAGAGGGUGACCGGCCACACGGGGAGUGAGAUACGGCCCAGACUCCUACGGGAGGCAGCAGUGGGGAAUAUUGCACAAUGGGCGCAAGCCUGAUGCAGCGACGCCGCGUGAGGGAUGACGGCCUUCGGGUUGUAAACCUCUUUCAGCACCGACGAAGCGCAAGUGACGGUAGGUGCAGAAGAAGGACCGGCCAACUACGUGCCAGCAGCCGCCGCAG
rnacentral:rRNA from 1 species